AUUUAUGGUGGCUGUGCGUGGGAGACCUUAGGGUCUGCCGGUUUUACCAUGGCCCGGUUCGCCAACCCGCGUACAGCUACCACCCUA
rnacentral:antisense_RNA from 1 species